CUCACUGAAACCAGUUUGUAGCACUCUUCACACAAAUGGCUGGGGACUGGUUUUCCACUCAUCUCUUGAAGAUAUCAGUAUCUAGAAGAUUUCUGUGAUCUGUUCAGACUUUCAUGAUCAAACAGUGACUUAUCUGUGACCAACUAUCUAUAUCACUGGGUAGGAACUAAGAAUUGGCUGGUGGUUUGCAACAGAACAAACACAAAGGGUCUAGGGAAAUACUGUGUUUAAAUCAGCAAAAAUGUGGAAGAUGACGAUGCAUCUUUGAUUUCAGGUGUGCAGGUCAGUAGAGCAACCCAAAGGGAGAAGUUUUCUCCCAAUUACUUUUGAUUUCUUGAUUUUUUUUUUCCAAAUC
rnacentral:lncRNA from 1 species